AUUGAACGCUGGCGGCAUGCUUUACACAUGCAAGUCGGACGGCAGCACAGAGAAGCUUGCUUCUUGGGUGGCGAGUGGCGAACGGGUGAGUAACAUAUCGGAACGUACCGAGCAGUGGGGGAUAACUAAUCGAAAGAUUAGCUAAUACCGCAUAUCUUCUGAGGAAGAAAGCAGGGGACCAUUUGGCCUUGCGCUGUUUGAGCGGCCGAUAUCUGAUUAGCUAGUUGGUGGGGUAAAGGCCUACCAAGGCGACGAUCAGUAGCGGGUCUGAGAGGAUGAUCCGCCACACUGGGACUGAGACACGGCCCAGACUCCUACGGGAGGCAGCAGUGGGGAAUUUUGGACAAUGGGCGCAAGCCUGAUCCAGCCAUGCCGCGUGUCUGAAGAAGGCCUUCGGGUUGUAAAGGACUUUUGUCAGGGAAGAAAAGAGCGGGGUUAAUACCCCUGUCUGAUGACGGUACCUGAAGAAUAAGCACCGGCUAACUACGUG
rnacentral:rRNA from 1 species